UCGAGAAUCUUCGGCAAUGGGCGCAAGCCUGACCGAGCGACGCCGCGUGGAGGACGAAGGCCUUCGGGUUGUAAACUCCUGUCGAGGGGGAAGAAGCCGCAAGGUUGACUGAUCCCUGGAGGAAGCACGGGCUAAGUUCGUGCCAGCAGCCGCGGUAAGACGAACCGUGCGAACGUUAUUCGGAAUCACUGGGCUUAAAGCGCGUGUAGGCGGGACGGCACGUCGGUCGUUAAAAUCCCCCGGCUCAACCGGGGAACCGGCGCCGAUACGACCGUCCUGGAGGAACGUAGGGGGACCUGGAACUUCCGGUGGAGCGGUGAAAUGCGUUGAGAUCGGAAGGAACGCCCGUGGCGAAAGCGAGGUCCUGGACGUUUUCUGACGCUGAGACGCGAAAGCCAGGGGAGCGAACGGGAUUAGAUACCCCCGUAGUCC
rnacentral:rRNA from 1 species